UAGCCCCUUUCUCUCUAAAGAGACCUAACCGUCACCACCACCCCACCACCCACCCCCCAUCACAUCACGUCGUCUCACCACCACCACACCGUCAGACCGCUGGAUCAAAGUGGUCAUCAACGUCACUGUCCUCAUUAGUCGUCUUUUCUCCCAUCACCCACUCCCUUUUUCUGAAAAACGGAGCUCGACAACUCAUAAAAGGUUGAUUGAGACCUCUGAGAAAGGGGAAGAGCAAAGAUCCAUCAGCCCUUCUCUCAAUCCGAUAGAUACAAGCCAGAAUCGGCAAUAUUGCUACCCAAACGACUCUUUCUCCUUCAAACCACCUCUGAAAAGUUCUCGGUCGAGGAAGGGCUAUUCCGAGUGGAUUCGGAGACUCGACGACGACACUAGCUUCAGUUCGCUGUCUCGAAAGAGGUAGACAGGUGGACGAGUUCGGUUCCUAGGAGCUCCACCCGCGGUACAUUGAGAGCGCUCCAGUUGUUCCGGAGCUUCAGUUCAUUGGUAGAUAAGGAGACGGUACAGAUUCUUAGACUUCCAUCUCAGCAUUGGUACAGGAGCACUCCACUUGUUCCGGAGUUGCAGUUCAGCGUGAUAUUGAGCCAGAGACGUCUUCCAGAUCUCGCAUCUAGUUGAGGUUAUUCACUACAAGAUCAGAGGGGAUUGGUUUGCCCACUAUAAGACUAGUGUGGGUGCCACUCACGUCUGUUUGGGAUGUGACACUUCUACAUGGAGUUGUGGUGAACUUGGUCUUGAAGCAAAUUGUGUAAGUUGAAGUUCUUAAAAUAUAAGGUAGACAGGGAAAUGGUACAGAUUCUUAGACUGCCAUCUCAGCAUUGGUACAGGAGCACUCCACUUGUUUCGAAGUUGCAGUUCAGCGUGGUAUGACUUUUUUGUAUAUAUAUGGGCAUGGCGGGGUCCUGUUCCGUCCUUAUUAUGUUAUGUACUCCAAGUAGAGGCUCGUAGGAAGAUGUGUACAACUAGAUGUCUUAUGACCUCCUCGGUCUAUAUUUUUGUUAGAUCCUUUGAUAGCCUUAUCGGCUUAUACAUGGGCACAAUUUGAUGAUGUACAUUUAUAUAUGCAGUUUUUUUGGGCAUGUAUCCCUUCCCGUUAUGAUAUUUAUGAGUUAGCUUUAUGACCCACUUAGAUAUGACUAUGAGAUGUACGUUUUGAGGUACUCGGUAGGUUAGCUCCGGGUGCUCGUCACGGCCCUCUGGCUGGGUCGUUACAGUUUGUCCAUAUAACCGAAGCUUAGGAGAGAAGAA